GACAGAGGGUGCAAACGUUGCUCGGAAUUACUGGGCGUAAAGCGCGUGUAGGCGGAUUUCCAAGUCAGAUGUGAAAUCCCUGGGCUCAACCCAGGAACUGCAUUUGAAACUGGGAGUCUUGAGUAUCGGAGAGGAAAGCGGAAUUCCUGGUGUAGAGGUGAAAUUCGUAGAUAUCAGGAGGAACACCGGUGGCGAAGGCGGCUUUCUGGACGAUAACUGACGCUGAGACGCGAAAGCGUGGGGAGCAAACAGG
rnacentral:rRNA from 1 species